rnacentral:tRNA from 1 species
AAAGACAUAGUAUAAACAUCAAUACAUUUCACUUACACUGAAAAUAUACUUAAGAGAUAAGUUGUCUUUA